rnacentral:lncRNA from 7 species
GUGGGAUGCAGAGCUGCCGGCAGCACCUCGGUGCCAACGCUGCUCCUCUCCCUUCACACAGGCUCAUGCGGCCGUGGAGAAGUGCAAGGCCGUGGCCAGGGAAUCCUUGAUGAAGGAUGCCCAGAAAUUACGGGCAGAAAGAACAGCUGCCAGGAAAGAGAAGCUGAAGCAGGAGAAGCAGCUCGUUGCCCAGCUGGAACAGCAGCUGCAGGCUGAGACAGAGGAGAUGGAGGUGCUGCGCCAGGAAAAACAGCACCUGCAAGAGGAGCGGGAGGAGCUGGAGCUGGAGGGUGCCUGGCAGCAGCAUCAGCUGGAGCUGGAGGCAGCCCACGUGCCUGGGGCUGUGCUGCCGGAGCUGGUGGAGGCAGAGCUGGAGAAGAAGGAGCAGGCGAGGAGACGAGGGCUCGCCUUCUGGAUGAAGACAAUCUGCCUCAUCUUCGUCAGCCUCCUGCUGCUGCUCGUUGCCGUGCUGGGCUCUGCAGUGCUGUACGCCCAGCACUAUGACCAGGAGCUGUUGUAUCGGCUCCUGCUGCGAGUGCUGCCCCAGGCAAUGUACGCUUCCCCGGCGUACUUUGCGAGCAGGAGCCUGCGUGUCGUCUGUGAUGGGCUGCUGCCCAUCUGACCGCCCCUCUCAGUCCCCCCUCCCAGCUCGGGGCUGCGCAGUGGUGGGGUGCAGGGAGAGAGCUCUGUCCCCACGGAAGGGGCCUCUCCUGUGCUCCUGCCCCCAGGGGCGCACAGGCACAGCUGUGGGGCAGUGCCGGCAGGCGGCUGAGUGCUGGACUUUGGACUUACAAAUAAGUUGGUACUGUCGUCGUCAACUGAACACCACCACCUCCGACGACCCAUCAGACUGAAGAUGUGCACCUGACGCCAGGACGUGGCUUCUUGGAUUCUUUGAGUCUUCGUAGCAGCCAUUUCCUUCAGCUGGUUACCUGUAAGGCUUAUGAAUUGUAAUUAGCCCAUUAGGCAAUGUUACCUCCAGUGGGCUGUUGUCAGUUGUUAAGAAUGCUGUCAAUAAAUGGAUGUGU